AAAAAAAAAUCUUUGUUUCUAUCUAUCUUCCAUGCAGUGCAGCACUGUACUGCUCUAGGGUAGGGAGGUGGGCGACACUGGUGGGAAGUUGGUUCCAAUGGUACACUGUUCUCGGAAAAUAAGAAAACUUGUAAUAGUCAGUGGUUGCAGUAAUUAACCUAUAACUUAAAUUAGGGAAUGGCCAUAGCGGACACAUCGAGUCAUUGGGGUAAGGUACUCUGCGAUUGGGAUAGCAACCAGAUCAUGAUAAAUCUUAUAGAAGAGUGAUAACUAUACGCCUUUAAUCCAGUCGAUGAAGGUUUAGGGAGUGUAGCAUAUCUGUUACACUGGAAGUACAGCUGUAGUCAGUCUUAAUCCAACGGGCGGCUCUCCUUUGGACGCUUUCAGUUUGGUCAAUUUGAGUUUGGGUGUGGGGCUACCAUACCUUGGAGGCACAUUUGAAUUGGGGUCGGACUAGAGCCUGUUUGAUGAAGUCACAACAGUUAAUGGGUCAGAGAAAACAUGUCAGGAGAGAAAAAAUAGAAGAAAAAACUGUAAAUAUGUACAGCAUAUUGUUGAACCAUCACAAGCUGAUCACCAGUGUACCAGCAAAACUGUAUUACAGCAGACCUUAUGUACACCUGAAAAUGUCUUUGUUGGUAGAAAAAUUUUGCAUGAAUGGUGUCUUGAAACAAAGAGAAAAAAGAAGACUAAGUGGUAUUUAGGAGUUGUACUGAAUGUUGUCGAAGGCAAUGAUGGCGAGCCAAAAUCAGUGUAUAAUGUAAUGUACGAAGGAGAUGAUGUUCCCCACAAAGUAAAUCACUUACAUACUGAUUUUAUGAAAGGUUCCUUAAUAUUCGUUAAUGAAGGAGAUUGAAGAACAGCUGCACAUAGCAUGAUAGAGAAAAUGAGCGAGAUCAACAUGUUUGGAAACAGAACCUCACCUAAUGUACAUGUAACUACAUGUGAGAAAGUGUGUGUUUUUUGCAAAAGCGUGGAAGUUUAAGCAAAUUGUUAAAGAAUAACAUACAUUAUGUCAGAGUAUGUGACUGCUAUUAAGGCUAUCAAAGCAAAACUUCAUAUUUGGAAAGUUAGAAAUGUGUAAACCAGUGUCACUACAGAUGUGAUAUGAAUUAAAGUAAUGCAUAACUUUACCUUGAUAAAGUGAAUUUGUUUACAGACUUUAUAUUGAAUAGUAAAUAUUUUUCUAUAGAUGUGACAAAAGCUGUGGACUAUAUAAGGUUGAAGUUGGUGCCCAAUCUGAAAAAGUUCAUUCAAGUGAGGUUGAAAUUGAUGAUGAUUGAAAAGUUCAUUUGAAAAGUUUUGGGGAAAAAGUUGCAGCCUUAUUAUGUUCUAUGCUGUUUGUAGAAUAUAAUGGGUAAAGACUACAAAUUGUUUUCAGGCUUUUCAUAAGUCAGCAUAUCAGAUCUUAAUUUUGUUAAUGAACUGCUUAAAGUUCCCCCCCAAAAUAGUGGACAAAAACUUAUGAAUAGUCACUGUGAUACUUUAUUUGAGAUUUAGCGUUUAAAAAAACUAUUUUCAAUACACAUCAAAUGUAACAAGUAUUGUCAAAAUGAAUAAUCAAAUACUGCAGACCAGGAGAAAUGGUUGAAUUUUGAGAAAAGAUCACUUAUUGGGUUUGCUCAUAUAAUAGACCAGUCCAAACAGACUUAAGUCUUACCUUAUUUCCAGGUAUCCCAGUAAGUAGCUCACCUAGGCACAGAAUGCUCCUGGUAAGCCUUUAGAAUCGUUAGAUGGCCAUGUUCAUCUGUUCAUUGUCCACAACUCUUUUAAGGUCUAUCAGCUUAAACCACCAAGUCAAUUUCAACCAAACUUCACCGGUAUGUUCUUUAUUGGUCCAUAUUCAGAUUCCCUCAAAUCUAUUUCAUCCAUGCAGAAUUCUGGCUGCUAGGGCAGCCUUAAGGAAAAUGUUUAGAAAUGUUCUCCACAGAAAAUGCUGACCAGGUUUUAAAGUAAUUUUACUGAUAUGUUAGUAUGGUGAUCCUCUACCAUACUUUUUCAAAUAAUUCUGUUUUAUUACAAAAAAGACAUGGCCACUAGAGGGCAGGCCUAGUUUUCCCAAUAUGGCUUUAUGGCGAACUCGGAAAAUUUUCUUCUCUGAGAGUGCUGGCCCAAUUUUAAAAUAAUUUCAUUACAAUAUUCCUUAGGUGACCAUGUACCAGAUUAUUUCAGAUUAUGUUUUGUUUAAAGGCAUGGUCUCCUGACUGUAGGGCUAGUUUUCCCUUAUACUGGUAUGGUUUUAUGGAAAAGUUUGAAAAUCUUCCCCACACCAACUGUCCAGAUUGCAACAUUAUUUUACAGCAAUGUUCCUUAAGUGACUGUGCCAAAUUCCUUUGUAUUGUUCUGUUUAAUAAAAGAUAUUGACACCAGAGGGCAAUCUAUGUUGUAAUAUGGAAAACUUAAAACAGUCUUCUGAAAAUGCUUACAUGAAUUCAAAAUUAUUUCAUAUAGAUCUUCCUUUGAUGCUACGAUUUCUUUAAGCACAACACCCUUUACUCCCCAACCUGUCCUGCUCACAAUCUUACCUGCCCAAAUUACCACCCAAGUUCGCACCUCACACCCCCCCUCCCCCACCUCCAACACACACACACAUAACACACACACACACUGCCAACCCAUGUCUAUUUAUUUGGUACUAUAUAACUCUUUAGGGCCAUCAUGACUGUCUUGUUUGAAUUAAUGGUUUCUGACGAUAUCUGAAAAAUAUCCUUGUAUGAAACCUCAAGAAAAUAAGUUGUUCAAUAAGAUAUAUCAAAAAAGAUCUUUCUUUGGAAGCAUAAUUUAUUUGUUGUGAUUCAACAAUGAUAGUAAACAUGCUUUUAUCAAAAUAUUCCAUUAAGUAUAUAUUAGGAGUUGCAUUUUAAAGGAGUCCUAAUGCUUAGAAUGGAAGAUUAGAAAAUGUGUUUUCAAAAUCUGAAGAAAUUCAUUUUCCUAUUUAGAUCAUUCCUGUAAAGUGUUCAUGGUUGUGACCAGAAAUUCAGGAAUUUUUUUUUUUUUUUAUUCAGACUGUGAAGUCAUAAAAAUUGUGAUAUGUUUGUAAUUUUGGAAUUCUGUACUAUGUUUUAUGCAUUACGUAAUGUUUGAAAAGUACUGUGCCAUUUUUAGCUUGACUAUUCAAAGAAUAGUCUAGCUAUUCUACUCACCCUGGCGUCGGCGUCGGCGUCACACCUUGGUUAAGUUUUUGCAUGCAAGUACAUACAGUUAUCAUUUAAAGGCAUAUAGCUUUGAAACUUAUUUAUUCUUUUUCUAGGUCAAUUACCAACCUCACUGGGUCAAGUUCCAUAACUCUAACAUGUAUUUUGAGCAAAUUAUGCCCCCUUUUGGACUUAGAAAAUUCUGGUUAAAGUUUUACAUGCAAGUUACUAUCUCCAAAACUAAUGCAGAUAUUGAAUUGAAACUUCACAUGUGUCUUCGGGGUUAUAAAACUAGUUGAUAGCAGCAAGUCCCAUAACUAUGACCUUCAUUUUGGCCAAAUUAUGCCCCCUUUUGGACUUAGAAAAUUUUGGUUAACGUUUUGCGUGCAAGUACAUACAGCUAUUACCAAAAGGUAUAUAGAUUUGAAACUUAUUUUUUCUUUUUCUAGAUCAAUUACCUACCUCACUAGGUCAAGUUCCAUAGCUCUGACAUGUAUUUUGGCCAAAUUAUGCCCCCUUUUUGACUUAGAAAAUUCUGGUUAAAGUUUUACAUGCAAGUACAUACAGCUAUUACUAAAAGGCAUAUAGAUUUGAAACUUAUUUUUUCUUUUUCUAGAUCAAUUACCUACCUCCCUUUGUCAAGUCCCAUAACUCUGGCAUGUAUUUUGGGCAAAUUAUGCCCCCUUUUGGACUUAGAAAAUUCUGGUUAAAGUUUUACAUGCAAGUUACUAUCUCCAAAACUAAUGCAGAUAUUGAAUUGAAACUUCACAUGUGUCUUCGGGGUUAUAAAACUAGUUGACAGAAUCAAGUCCCAUAACUCUGACAUGUAUUUUGGGCAAAUUAUGCCCCCUUUUGGACUUGUAAAAUCCUGGUUCAAGUUUUGCAUGCAAAUACAUACAGCUAUUACCAAAAGGCAUAUAGCUUUGAAACUUAUUUAUUCUUUUUCUAGGUCAAUUACCAACCUCACUGGGUCAAGUUCCGUAACUCAUAAAAUGUAUUUUGAGCAAAUUAUGCCCCCUUUUGGACUUAGAAAAUUCUGGUUAUAGUUUUACAUGCAAGUUACUUUCUCCAAAACUAAUGCAGAUAUGGAAUUGAAACUUAACAUGUUUCUUAGGGGUUAUAAAACUAGUUGAUAGCAUCAAGUCCCAUAACUCUGAUAUGCAUUUUGGUCAAUUUAUGUCCCCUUUCGAACUUAAAACUCUUUUGAUAUUUAACAUUUUGGGUAAUAAUUUCCUGCUUCUGUGACAGUAUUUCGAAUAGUCAAGCUUGGCUGUCUUACGGACAGCUCUUGUUUCAUUAAGGUUUGUAUACUUUAUUUAAUUUGCUUGUAAUUUUGAAAAUGUUACACGUGCUUAAAACCCAGAAAGUGAUAAUAAGUGCCUUUAUGAAUAUCAUGAGAAGUGUUUGAGAAAUGAAUAUCAUCAGCCAGAUGUUUUAUGCAAUAUUAAUUACACAGUUUGUGUUAAAAAAUAAUUGCAAUAUAAUUAUAUUGAAUGAACUUUAUGAAUCAGGUUUUUCAAACAGAGACUGAUUUACUAGAAUGGGGUAUGUUGUUGUACUCGAAGGGAGGUGGUAUCUGACAAACCAUUUCCACUCAGUAAGUUCAGUUUGGGUUGAGAUAUUGUUAUGUUAACUUGGCUAAUAAGACCAUUAUUGGGAUUGCAUUUGGGUCAGUGGAGUCAAGGAUAAGGUUACUGCUUAUAGAAAUUGAAAAAAAAAAACAGUUCUGUCCAAUAACUUAUGUUUGGAUUGAUGUAUUAAAAUUGAUCUUGGCCUAUAGGAAGCAUACAGAAAAACCAAGGUUGGGAUUAUAUAUGGGGUUAUUAAGUCGACAUAACGUAAUUAAUCUGCCUACUUUCAAAAUUCCACCAUUGCAUAGUGGGCUAAGGUGUUGGUCUUUGUGUCUUUUGUACUGUAGAAAUUUUAGAGAGUAGCAGACAGAUAGUGGUUCUAAUCCCAGAACUGGUUUUUACCUGUAUUUGGUGCCACUAUUACUAAGAAGAAAAAAAAAUGGUUUUUGUGCAAUAUCUUUAGUUUACAUUCACCAUUUUCACCUUGGUGUGAUGAUAGCUUGUAGCAAAAGAAAGGUUGGGAUUAUAUUUUGGAUCACUCUUGUACUGUUGCUAAAUAUAGAAAAUGGUUCCUGCUAAAAAUUUGGGUAGACCUAUCGUCACAACAUUUGGUGUUUAGAUAGCCUGUAUUGUGACAAAGGUUGGGAUUGUACUUCAUAUCAAGGUCACUUACUAAAAUAAAACAAUGGUUUCCACAGACAUUGAAAACCUGGUUUCAGUUGGCAGUUAUAUAUAGCUUUUUGUUGUUGUUAGAAAAUAUUACUUUGACCUCAAAUUGUUAUUAUAUAGUUAUGUAAACUUGUACUUUAUACAGAUAGUAUACAUUUGUUUUAUCAAUAACAAAUUUUGUCACCAACAACUAUAUAUAUAUAUGAAGAUGUAAAAUAUGGGAAAUUAAAACAUGUUAAAAAUA